rnacentral:misc_RNA from 1 species
GUGAGUCAUCGAAUCUUUGAACGCAUAUUGCGCCCCCUGGUAUUCCGGGGGGCACACCUGUCCGAGCGCCAUUUCAACCCUCAAGCUUCGCUUGGUGUUGGGCGAGGUCCCGGGGGACCCGCCCCUAACUUGUAGGCGGUCGACGCCCCGCGCCCCCAGCGUAGCACGCUCACGCACCCGCUCGGGGACGGAGCGCGGCCCGCCCGACCAACCAAAGGUUUGGCCUCGGAUCAGGUGGGGAUACCCGCUGAACUUAAGCAUAUCAAUAAGCGGAGGA